rnacentral:rRNA from 1 species
GAUGAACGCUGGCGGCGUGCCUAAUACAUGCAAGUCGAGCGAACAGAUGAGGAGCUUGCUCCUCUGACGUUAGCGGCGGACGGGUGAGUAACACGUGGAUAACCUACCUAUAAGACUGGGAUAACUUCGGGAAACCGGAGCUAAUACCGGAUAAUAUAUUGAACCGCAUGGUUCAAUAGUGAAAGACGGUUUUGCUGUCACUUAUAGAUGGAUCCGCGCCGCAUUAGCUAGUUGGUAAGGUAACGGCUUACCAAGGCAACGAUGCGUAGCCGACCUGAGAGGGUGAUCGGCCACACUGGAACUGAGACACGGUCCAGACUCCUACGGGAGGCCGCAGUAGGGAAUCUUCCGCAAUGGGCGGAAGCCUGGCGGAGCAACGCCGCGUGAGUGAUGAAGGUCUUCGGAUCGUAAAACUCUGUUAUUAGGGAAGAACAAAUGUGUAAGUAACUAUGCACGUCUUGACGGUACCUAAUCAGAAAGCCACGGCUAACUACGUG